rnacentral:rRNA from 1 species
AGAGCGAACGCUGGCGGCAGGCUUAACACAUGCAAGUCGAGCGGGCGUAGCAAUACGUCAGCGGCAGACGGGUGAGUAACGCGUGGGAACGUACCUUUGGUUCGGAACAACCCAGGGAAACUUGGGCUAAUACCGGAUAAGCCCUUACGGGGAAAGAUUUAUCGCCGAAAGAUCGGCCCGCGUCUGAUUAGCUAGUUGGUGAGGUAAUGGCUCACCAAGGCGACGAUCAGUAGCUGGUCUGAGAGGAUGAUCAGCCACAUUGGGACUGAGACACGGCCCAAACUCCUACGGGAGGCAGCAGUGGGGAAUAUUGGACAAUGGGCGCAAGCCUGAUCCAGCCAUGCCGCGUGAGUGAUGAAGGCCCUAGGGUUGUAAAGCUCUUUUGUGCGGGAAGAUAAUGACGGUACCGCAAGAAUAAGCCCCGGCUAACUUCGCGCCAGCAGCCGCA